rnacentral:rRNA from 1 species
CGGGGGGAGCAAGCGUUGUUCGGAUUUACUGGGCGUAAAGGGCGCGUAGGCGGCGCCGCAAGUCACUUGUGAGAUCUCCGGGCUCAACUCGGAACGGCCAAGUGAUACUGCGGUGCUAGAGUGCGGAAGGGGCAACUGGAAUUCUUGGUGUAGCGGUGAAAUGCGUAGAUAUCAAGAGGAACACCUGCGGCGAAGGCGGGUUGCUGGGCCGACACUGACGCUGAGGCGCGAAAGCUAGGGGAGCGAACGGGAUUAGAUACCCCGGUAGUCCUAGCCUUAAACGAUGAAUGCUUGGUGUCCGGAGUUAGAUAGUCUCCGGGUGCCGUCGCUAACGCUUUUAGCAUUCCGCCUGGGGAGUACGGUCGCAAGACUG